GACGAACGCUGGCGGCGUGCUUAACACAUGCAAGUCGAGCGGAAAGGCCCUUCGGGGUACUCGAGCGGCGAACGGGUGAGUAACACGUGAGCAACUUGCCCUCAGCUCUGGGAUAGCUCCGGGAAACCGGAAUUAAUACCGGAUAUGACCCUGACUGACAUCAGACAGGGUGGAAAGGGUUUCCGGCUGAGGAUGGGCUCGCGGCCUAUCAGCUAGUUGGUGGGGUAACGGCCUACCAAGGCGACGACGGGUAGCCGGCCUGAGAGGGCGACCGGCC
rnacentral:rRNA from 1 species